rnacentral:lncRNA from 1 species
CCCAUCUAAGGAGACCAAGAGGCAGGGGCAAUGGUGACAAUGGACACGGUAAAUACAAGACAUUGGAACUUUGAACUGAGUAUGUACAAGCCUAAAGAUUCAAAGUUUGAUGCCCAAACCAAACUAAGAAUAGUAAUACCAGAUGCUUUACCAUUAACCACAAGUUUGUGGGCAGGAGAUAAGAAAAUGCCUGCAACAGUGCCUAACCGCAACCCCCCACCCAAGUAAGGCCAGAUGUCCACACCAAGAUAACAGUCACCAUGCCCCAUGAGCAAAAGUACACAUAGACCCUAAGCUUUCUGUAAACCGCAUGACCAGAAUUGUAUAUAUGUAAGCCACCAAUGUAACUCCGG